GACGAACGCUGGCGGCGUGCCUAAUACAUGCAAGUUGAGCGCUGAAGGUUGGUACUUGUACCAACUGGAUGAGCAGCGAACGGGUGAGUAACGCGUGGGGAAUCUGCCUUUGAGCGGGGGACAACAUUUGGAAACGAAUGCUAAUACCGCAUAAAAACUUUAAACACAAGUUUUAAGUUUGAAAGAUGCAAUUGCAUCACUCAAAGAUGAUCCCGCGUUGUAUUAGCUAGUUGGUGAGGUAAAGGCUCACCAAGGCGAUGAUACAUAGCCGACCUGAGAGGGGGAUCGGCCACAUUGGGACGGAGACACGGCCCAAACGCCUACGGGGGGCAGCAGUAGGGAAUCUUCGGCAAUGGACGAAAGUCUGACCGAGCAACGCCGCGGGAGUGAAGAAGGUUGUCGGAUCGUAAAACUCGGUUGGUAGAGAAGAACGUUGGUGAGAGUGGAAAGCUCAUCAAGUGACGGUAACUACCCAGAAAGGGACGGCUAACUACGUG
rnacentral:rRNA from 1 species